ACAGGCUUAACACAUGCAAGUCGAGGGGAAACGACAUCGAAAGCUUGCUUUUGAUGGGCGUCGACCGGCGCACGGGUGAGUAACGCGUAUCCAACCUGCCCAUCACUUAGGGAUAACCUUGCGAAAGUAAGACUAAUACCCAAUGACGUCUCUAGAAGACAUCUGAAGGAGAUUAAAGAUUUAUCGGUGAUGGAUGGGGAUGCGUCUGAUUAGCUUGUUGGCGGGGUAACGGCCCACCAAGGCGACGAUCAGUAGGGGUUCUGAGAGGAAGGUCCCCCACAUUGGAACUGAGACACGGUCCAAACUCCUACGGGAGGCAGCAGUGAGGAAUAUUGGUCAAUGGGCGAGAGCCUGAACCAGCCAAGUAGCGUGCAGGAUGACGGCCCUAUGGGUUGUAAACUGCUUUUAUAAGGGAAUAAAGUGAGUCUCGUGAGACUUUUUGCAUGUACCUUAUGAAUAAGGACCGGCUAAUUCCGUGCCAGCAGCCGCGGUAAUACGGAAGGUCCGGGCGUCAUCCGGAUUUAUUGGGUUUAAAGGGAGCGUAGGCCGGAGAUUAAGCGUGUUGUGAAAUGUAGACGCUCAACGUCUGCACUGCAGCGCGAACUGGUUUCCUUGAGUACGCACAAAGUGGGCGGAAUUCGUGGUGUAGCGGUGAAAUGCUUAGAUAUCACGAAGAACUCCGAUUGCGAAGGCAGCUCACUGGAGCGCAACUGACGCUGAAGCUCGAAAGUGCGGGUAUCGAACAGGAUUAGAUACCCUGGUAGUCCGCACGGUAAACGAUGGAUGCCCGCUGUUGGUCUGAAUAGGUCAGCGGCCAAGCGAAAGCAUUAAGCAUCCCACCUGGGGAGUACGCCGGCAACGGUGAAACUCAAAGGAAUU
rnacentral:rRNA from 1 species